rnacentral:rRNA from 1 species
AAUGAACGUUGGCGGCGUGGAUUAGGCAUGCAAGUCGAGCGAGAAGUCCUUCGGGACGGACAGCGGCGAAAGGGAGAGGAAUACGUAGAAAUCUACCCCUGAGACCGGGAUAGCGUCGGGAAACUGGCAGUAAUACCGGAUAAUGUCUUAGGACCAAAGGUGUGAUUCCGCUUGGGGAUGAGUCUACGCCCUAUUAGCUAGUUGGUGGGGUAAUGGCCUACCAAGGCGAUGAUGGGUAGCGGGUGUGAGAGCACGAUCCGCCUCACUGGGACUGAGAACUGCCCAGACACCUACGGGUGGCUGCAGUCGAGAAUCUUUGUCAAUGGACGAAAGUCUGAACAAGCGACGCCGCGUGCGGGAUGAAGGCCUUCGGGUUGUAAACCGCUGUCGUAGGGGAACAAAUGUACGGGGGUUCUCCCCUGUAUGUGAGUGAUCCUAGGAGNAAGGAGAGGCUAAGCUCGUGACAGCAGCCGCCGUAA